rnacentral:rRNA from 2 species
UGGAUUAGCUAGUUGGUGGGGUAAAGGCCUACCAAGGCGACGAUCCAUAGCUGGUCUGAGAGGAUGAUCAGCCACAUUGGGACUGAGACACGGCCCAAACUCCUACGGGAGGCAGCAGUGGGGAAUAUUGGACAAUGGGCGCAAGCCUGAUCCAGCCAUGCCGCGUGAGUGAUGAAGGCCUUAGGGUUGUAAAGCUCUUUCACCGGAGAAGAUAAUGACGGUAUCCGGAGAAGAAGCCCCGGCUAACUUCGUGCCAGCAGCCGCGGUAAUACGAAGGGGGCUAGCGUUGUUCGGAAUUACUGGGCGUAAAGCGCACGUAGGCGGAUAUUUAAGUCAGGGGUGAAAUCCCAGAGCUCAACUCUGGAACUGCCUUUGAUACUGGGUAUCUU